AAUAUUAACUUUAAUUUAUUUACCACAAAACAUUAGUUUGGUGCAAGACAUUAUUAUUGGAAAACAUUUAGAAGGUAAAGUAUAAUACAUAUUAUUAAAAUUAUAUCAUUACAAUUUUAUAAUUUAAAUAUAAUGUUGUCUUAUAGGUAGGAUUACGAAUGUUGAACUUCAUAAAUUGCUUAGAAAUAAUGAAGAUCCAUCAGUGAGAGAAAGAACAUGUGUACUUUUAUUGCAUAUGACUAGACUGAGUCCAAAUAGUCUUUCAGAUGUUUGGCAUCAAACUCUUACAAAUGAUAUUGAAUUUU